rnacentral:misc_RNA from 1 species
AUGUUAACUUCCAGCAGUGCCUGCUGCAAGCAUGCGAGUAAACUUAGUAGUUUUAGGGAGUCACGUUUUCUGUGUUGAAGUAUCUGGCAACUGUCUUGGAGAAUGAAAGGAAAACAGGAUUGGAUAUCAGUGAACGAGAGAGAGAAAUGGGCGAGGAAGCUUAGAGGAGGGAUAGAGAGAUGAAUCCUACCAUCUGAUGUGAUCUAUU